AGAAAGAAAGAGAUUACCGGUGGAAAUAUAUUUCCAGAGCUCCCUCCGUUUGACAUGCAGUACUGGAAGAGGUCAGAGGGAGAGAAGACUGGCUGCAAUGAACAAAGUAGGAAUUUCAGAAAGCAGGGGUGUAUUGUGUCAAAUUGGUGUUCGAUGAAAUCCCAGAACGGGAGGGAUCAAUAUUAUGUGCCGCAAAAAGCCAAUGACAAUGGCAAUAAGGGAGACCAAGAGCUCCUCAAGAAAUGACGUACUCAUGCUAGGACCAUGCAGGAGAGGAACAUCUUAGAGCACAAGCAAGAAAUGUGUGAGAGACAUAUGAGAGGGGAGGUAUGCCUGUUGUGUAUGUCUACUUUCACUACAUUAUAAUUUUGUAAUCCACUAUUUUUUUCACAUACCUGAAGUGCACUUCUCAACCAGAAGAGGGCAACAUAACACCAGCCUGAGGAAAGGGUUUCACAGUCAUUGGAAAGAGAAAAUUAGAAUUAGAAGAAUGCUUUCAGUUCUGUUCUUGUUCUAAGGAAACUGUCUGAGAGAAGUGGACAGAAAGAGACUGACUUAAGUCCUUGUUUCCAUUCUGGGUGAGCAGACGUUGAAAAAGAUGGCUGUGCAGACACUAAGCUGAAGCUCUCCAGGUUGGAGAUAGUGACAUGCCUAGCUAGCGAUGGAACACUGUGCCUCCAGUAUGCAGUCAGUCAUCCUGCAGUCAGAUGUCGCCAGGGAGGCACACCC